AGGGGGGGUAACGGGGAGGCGGCGGUGGUGGCGGCGGCGCGGGAGCCGGGUGUUUACGGAGGCGCAGGCGGCGUUGCACAACAGGCAGCACGGGUACACCGCGUCCUCGCUGCCGGAGGAAAUCCCCCCAAAUUCUUCCUACCGGCGAGGUGGCCGGAUGCGCUCAUGGCCAGAUCCGGCCCUGCGAGCCUCCUCGCCUCGCUCUGACCCCGGUUCCUGCAGCGAAACGUUGCCGCUGAGCGGGGACGAGGCACCCGCGGCACCCACACACGUGAGGACCCAGCACCCCCCUUGUGCCCCUGCCCCACCGCAGGCCGGAUCCUGCCCUGGGAUCCUGCACCUCCGCCACCAUGGGCCUUUCCACGUGCGUUUCAAACCCCAAAAUUUCUGGGUUGGGAUCUGAACGUGCAUCGCCUCUAGCCAGGGCUGGAUCGAUGUCCCUGGCCCCGAGGCCGGCGGUGUUUCCUUCCAGCAGCUCCCGCCGGGAUGGCUUUUCCCCGGCCGCAGGACGCACGUAUUGCCCUGGGUUCUCCCUCCUCCGGGGGUAAAAAAAAAAAAAAAAUUAAAAAUCCAUAUUAUUAUUAAACAU